rnacentral:rRNA from 1 species
GUGUCAGCAGCCGCGGUAAUACAGAGGGUGCGAGCGUUGUCCGGAAUCACUGGGCGUAAAGGGCGCGUAGGCGGCUUUGCAAGCGUGCGGUGAAAGCUCGGGGCUUAACUCCGAGUCUGCCGUGCGAACUGUGAGGCUUGAGUCUGGUAGAGGUCGAUGGAAUUCCGGGUGUAGCGGUGGAAUGCGUAGAGAUCCGGAAGAACACCGGUGGCGAAGGCGGUCGACUGGGCCAGUACUGACGCUGAGGCGCGACAGCGUGGGGAGCAAACAGGAUUAGAUACCCUGGUAGUCCACGCCGUAAACGAUGGGCACUAGGUCCUUGGGGGAGCGACCCCUUGAGGGCCGGCGCUAACGCAUUAAGUGCCCCGCCUGGGGAGUACGGCCGCAAGGCUGAA